UACCAAUAUAUACGGACAACUGCGGUAUAUCAGGAUAAGGUAUUGUACCUUAUUACCGGUAUAUACCAAAUAUUAAGGUAUACCAGAAUAAGGUAUGAUACCGCAUCACCGGUAUAUGCAGUAAUAUUCGGUAUACCAGUAAUACGGUAUCAUACCGUAUUCUGGUAUAUACCUUUAAUAUGAUAUUUAUUGAUUUUUUCGGUAUAUACCGCGGUAUUGGUAUACACCGGUAUACCCCGGUAUUUGGAAAAUCCAUACUUUUACCUUACCGUAAAUCUUCGGUACGGUAUCAUACCUUACCAAAAAAACCGGUAUACCUUAAAUUCGGUAUUUUGCGGUAUUUUACGGUACGGUAUGGCCGGUAUACCGAGUUUUCGGUAUAUUUUUCCAGCCCUAGAGAGAACUUAUUGGCUUCUUCCGAUUUCGGCGGCACCGUUAUCGUAUGGAAGAGAGAGAAAACACACUGAAAACAGUAGUAAGUAAUUUCAUGGAUGAAUCUUUGCUUGCUGGAGUGGCAUGAUUCCUGUUCUUCGUUGCUGCCAGAAAAGACGGUAUGAUAUUGAUACGCGACGAGAACGAUGACAAUGUCGUCUGUUUGACCAGAGCGUGAUGCUGCUGUACACUAUACCAAAGUUUUUUCAGGGAAAGAAACACAAUGAAGAUUGUAGAACGAUUUGUUUGAACGUCGAUUUGAAAUAAUAAAAUAAGCUUCUCAAAGCAGCUUAUAAGUUGUUUGAGAGCUUAUAAGCUCUUUCAAAGUUGUUUGGCAAAAUAAGCUCCCCAAUAGCUUAUAA
rnacentral:lncRNA from 1 species